rfam:Salmo salar isolate Sally breed double haploid chromosome ssa10, whole genome shotgun sequence.
AUACUUACCUAGCAAGGGAGACACCGUGAUCAAGAAGGUGGUUCACCCAGGGUGAGGCUCAGCCAUUGUACUCCGGCUGAGCUGACCCCUGCGAAUUUCCCAAAUGUGGAAAUCUCAAUUGAAUAAUUUCUGGUAGUGGGGGACUGCGUUCGCGCUCUCCCCUG